GAUGAACGCUAGCUACAGGCUUAACACAUGCAAGUCGAGGGAACGGCGCACGGGUGAGUAACACGUAUCCAACCUGCCCUUUACUCGGGGCUAGCCUUUCGAAAGAAAGAUUAAUACCCGCUAUAAAGAAUGUGGAUGCGUUCCAUUAGGUUGUUGGUGAGUUAACGGCUCACCAAGCCUUCGAUGGCUAGGGGUUCUGAGAGGAAGUUCCCCCACAUUGGAACUGAGACACGGUCCAAACUCCUACGGGAGGCAGCAGGGAGGAAUAUUGGUCAAUCGGCGCUAGCCUGAACCAUCCAAGUAGCGUGAAGAAUGAAGGCUUAUGGGUCGUAAACUUCUUUUAUAUAAGAAUAUGUAUUAUAUGAAUAAGGAUCGGCUAACUCCGGGCCAGCAGCCGCGGUAAUAC
rnacentral:rRNA from 1 species